rnacentral:rRNA from 1 species
UACGUAGGGUGCGAGCGUUGUCCGGAAUUAUUGGGCGUAAAGGGCUCGUAGGCGGUUUGUCGCGUCGGGAGUGAAAACUCAGGGCUUAACCCUGAGCCUGCUUCCGAUACGGGCAGACUAGAGGUAUGCAGGGGAGAAUGGAAUUCCUGGUGUAGCGGUGAAAUGCGCAGAUAUCAGGAGGAACACCGGUGGCGAAGGCGGUUCUCUGGGACGGUACUGACGCUGAGACGCGAAAGCGUGGGGAGCGAACAGG